UUAGCCUACUGCACCCACGGACCCUGUGUGCCGAGUGUGAGAUCCACAAAAUUAUUCGAAUGACUUCACUACUGCGUUAACCGAGCUAACGUCAAACGCAUCGAGAAUCGCGAGUCAGCGAGUGUGAGAUACCACCGAAGCUAACCAGCCCAUACGCGUGUACUCACCGUGAAUGGCGUUUAUUAUUUUUG